CGUCAAUUUUUUUAUUUUUACUGUUAAAAACUUGCAUUACUGACAGAAUAACCAAAUAAUUACAUAUGGCAUGUCACGUGUACCUCAUUCUAAGGUACAGAGGCCAAUUUUAAACAAUAGAAAUUGAUGAAAUUUUUAAUA
rnacentral:pre_miRNA from 1 species